rnacentral:snoRNA from 1 species
UAAGACAUGAUGAAUAAAUAGUUAUCCCUGUCUUACGUAAAAACAUGGUGAUAAAAUGAUUUCCUGAUGUAUUA